GACGAACGCUGGCGGCGUGCUUAACACAUGCAAGUCGAACGAAGAGCGACGGAGGCUUGCUUCUAUCAAUCUUAGUGGCGAACGGGUGAGUAACGCGUAAUCAACCUGCCCUUCAGAGGGGGACAACAGUUGGAAACGACUGCUAAUACCGCAUACGAUCUAACCUCGGCAUCGAGGAUAGAUGAAAGGUGGCCUCUACAUGUAAGCUAUCACUGACGCAGGGUAUUGCGUCUGAUUAGCUAGUUGGAGGGGUAACGGCCUACCAAGGCGAUGAUCAGUAGCCGGUCUGAGAGGAUGAACGGCCACAUUGGGACUGAGACACGGCCCAGACUCCUACGGGAGGCAGCAGUGGGGAAUCUUCCGCAAUGGACGAAAGGCUGAAGGAGCAACGCCGCGUGAGGGAUGACGGCCUUCGGGUUGGAAAGCUCUGUUAAUCGGGACGAAAGGCCUUCUUGCGAAUAGUGAGAAGGAUUGACGGUACCGGAAUAGAAAGCCACGGCUAACUACGUG
rnacentral:rRNA from 1 species